UUUUUUCUCCUUUUAUCUUCAUUCUUUUUUCCCUCUGGGUGGGUUCUCCUGAAAUUUAAUGGUUUUGUCACAUCUUCUUCUCCUUUUUCUUCCCUUUGUUUUCUUUUCGCUAAUUCUGAAGCUCAGUCGCUAUUGUGGUAUUUCAUAUGAUGACGUCCAGACUAUAGCGGAGAUAUAUUGUCUAUGUGAAAGGAUGCUCCUGUAUCGACCUGCAUCUCAUAGUUAGCACGUGACAAUAGAAGCUGAGGACCGUAGCUGGCAGCAAUUACGAAUACAUAAUCUUUCAACAGUUUUGGGAGUUUCUCUCACAUUUGCUUUAAUCCCUUAAGAGGAACCAUACACCAUCCAUGAGUCUAUAUUUUGUUCCAAAAUAUAUGUAAAUAGUAUCCAGCAUCUGAUUUAAUAACAACUUACAUGCGUCAA